rnacentral:lncRNA from 1 species
UGAAAUACUUGCACACAAACCGCGCGAAAGCGUUCCUGGAAAUCUCAGCCCAAAAAAGGACGUUUAGUAAUUCUAAAAGGGACUACAGAAUGAAAAACAAUAGUUUUGGCAGUUAAAGUUUGAGAUUCGAUGGUGCCGUAGAUCCGUUUGGUCAUCAGGUGUAACGAGCCACACCCAUGUCUAGCUAGAGUAGUGUGCUAGGCUCAGGCUAGAGAAGAAACGGGGAACAAACUGAUGAAAGAAUGAUCAUACCGAGGGAAUUCACUCAGAACUAACAAGAAUGAUAACGUGCUCCGACUGGAGCGGUUUAGGAACUGCUGGAAGGCUCUAGGGGAAGAAAGAAGGAAUGACUUCUAAUUUUUAGGUCCGUAUGAUUUGAAAUACGUGCACACAAACCGCGCGAAAGCGUUCCUGGAAAUCUCAGCCCAAAAAAGGACGUUUAGUAUUCUAAAAGGGACUACAGAAUGAAAAACAAUAGUUUUGGCAGUUAAAGUUUGAGAUUCGACGGUGCCGUAGAUCCGUUUGGUCAUCAGGUGUUACGAGCCACACCCAUGUCUAGCUAGAAUAGUGUGCNNNNNNNNNNNNNNNNNNNNNNNNNCGUAUGAUUUGAAAUACGUGCACACAAACCGCGCGAAAGCGUUCCUGGAAAUCUCAGCCCAAAAAAGGACGUUUAGUAUUCUAAAAGGGACUACAGAAUGAAAAACAAUAGUUUUGGCAGUUAAAGUUUGAGAUUCGACGGUGCUGUAGAUCCGUUUGGUCAUCAGGUGUUACGAGCCACACCCAUGUCUAGCUAGAAUAGUGUGCUAGGCUCAGGCUAGAGAAGAAAAGGGGAACAAACUAAUGAAAGAAUGAUCAAUACGAGGGAAUUCACUCAGAACUAACAAUAAUGAUAACGUGCUCCGACUGGAGCGGUUUAGGAACUGCUGGAAGGCUCUAGGCGAAUAAAGAUGGAAUGACUUCUAAUUUUUACGUCCGUAUGAUUUGAAAUACUUGCACACAAACCACGCAAAAGCGUUCCUGGAAAUCUCGGCCUAAAAAGGACGUUUAGUAAUUCUAAAAGGGACUACAGGAUGAAAAAUAAUAGUUUGGGCAGUUAAAAUUUGAGAUUCGACGGUGCCGUAGAUCCGUUUGGUCAUCAGGUGUUACGAGCCACACCCAUGUCUAGCUAGAAUAGUGUGUUAGGCUCAGGCUAGAGAAGAAACGAGGAACAAACUGAUGAAAGAAUGAUCAUACCAAGGGAAUUCACUCAGAACUAACAAGAAUGAUAACGUGCUCCGACUGGAGCAGUUUAGAAACUGCUGGAAGGCUCUAGGGGAAUAAAGAUGGAAUGACUUCUGAUUUUUAGGUCCGUAUGAUUUGAAAUACGUGCACACAAACCCCGCGAAAGCGUUCCUGGAAAUCUCAGCCCAAAAAAGGACGUUUAGUAAUUCUAAAAGGGACUACAACAUGAAAAACAAUAGUUUUGGCAGUUAAAGUUUGAGAUUUCAUGGUGCCGUAGAUCUGUUUGGUCAUCAGGUGUUACGAGCCACACCCAUGUCUAGCUAGAAUAGUGUGUUAGGCUCAGGCUAGAAAAGAAACGGGAAACAAAGUGAUGAAAGAAUGACCAUACCGAGGGAAUUCACUCAGAACUAACAAGAAUGAUAACAUGCUCCGACUUGAGCGGUUUAGGAACUGCUGGAAGGCUCUAGGGGAAUAAAGAUGGAAUGACUUCUAAUGUUUAGGUCCGUAUGAUUUGAAAUACUUGCACAUAAACCGCACAAAAGCGUUCCUGGAAAUCUCAGCCCAAAAAAGGACGUUUAGUAAUUCUAAAAGGGACUACAGGAUGAAAAACAAUAGUUUUGGCAGUUAAAGUUUGAGAUUCGACGGUGCCGUAGAUCCGUUUGGUCAUCAGGUGUUACGAGCCACACCCAUGUCUAGCUAGAAUAGUGUGUUAGGCUCAGGCUAGAGAAGAAACUUGGAACAAACUGAUGAAAGAAUGAUCAAACCAACGGAAUUCACUCAGAACUAACAAUAAUGAUAACGUGCUCCGACUGGAGCAGUUUAGGAACUGCUGGAAGGCUCUAGGGGAAUAAAGAUGGAAUGACUUCUAAUUUUUAGGUCCGUAUGAUUUGAAAUACUUGCACGCAAACCGCGCGAAAGCGUUCCUGGAAAUAUCAGCCCAAAAAAGGACGUUUAGUAAUUCUAAAAGGGACUACAGGAUGAAAACAAUAGUUUUGGCAGUUAAAGUUUGAGAUUCAACAGUGCCGUAGAUCCGUUUGGUCAUCAGGUGUUAUGAGCCAUACCCAUGUCUAGCUAGAGUAGUGUGCUAGGCUCAGGCUAGAGAAGAAACAGGGAACAAACUGAUGAAAGAAUGAUCAUACCGAGGGAAUUCACUCAGAACUAACAAGAAUGAUAACGUGCUCCGACUGGAGCGGUUUAGGAACUGCUGGAAGGCUCUAGGGGAAUAAAGAUGGAGUGACUUCUAAAUUUUUAGGUCCGUAUGAUUUAAAAUACUUGCACACAAACCGCACGAAAGCGUUCCUUGAAAUCUCAGCCCAAAAAAGGACGUUUAGUAAGUCUAAAAGGGACUAUAGGAUGAAAAACAAUAGUUUUGGCAGUUAAAGUUUGAGAUUCGAUGGUGCCGUAGAUCUGUUUGGUCAUCAGGUGUUACGAGCCACACCCAUGUCUAGUUGGAAUAGUGUGCUAGGCUCAGACUAGAGAAGAAACAGGGAACAAACUGAUGAAAGAAUGAUCAAACCGAGGAAAUUCACUCAGAACUAACAAUAAUGAUAACAUGCUCCGACUGGAGCGGUUUAGGAACUGCUGGAAGGCUCUAGGGGAAUAAAGAUGGAAUGACUUCUAAAUUUUUAGGUCCGUAUGAUUUGAAAUAGUUGCACACAAACUGCGCGAAAGCGUUCCUGGAAAUCUCAGCCCAAAAAAGGACGUUUAGUAAUUCUAAAAGGGACUAUAGGAUGAAAAACAAUAGUUUUGGCAGUUAAAGUUUGAGAUUCGACGGUGCCGUAGAUCCGUUUGGUCAUCACGUGUUACAAGCCACACCCAUGUCUAGCUAGAGUAGUGUGCUAGGCUCAGACUAUAGAAGAAACGGGGACCAAACUGAUGAAAGAAUGAUCAAACCGAGGAAAUUCACUCAGAACUAACAAUAAUGAUAACAUGCUCCGACUGGAGCGGUUUAGGAACUACUGGAAGGCUCUAGGGGAAUAAAGAUGGAAUGACUUCUAAAUUUUUAGGUCCGUAUGAUUUUAAAUAGUUGCACACAAACUGCGCGAAAGCGUUCCUGGAAAUCUCAGCCCAAAAAAGGACGUUUAGUAAUUCUAAAAGGGACUACAGGAUGAAAAACAAUAGUUUGGGCAGUUAAAAUUUGAGAUUCGACGGUGCCGUAGAUCCGUUUGGUCAUCAGGUGUUACGAGCCACACCCAUGUCUAGCUAGAGUAGUGUGCUAGGCUCAGGCUAGAGAAGAAACAGGGAACAAACUGAUGAAAGAAUGAUCAUACCGAGGGAAUUCACUCAGAACUAACAAGAAUGAUAACGUGCUCUGACUGGAGCGGUUUAAGAACUGUUGGAAGGCUCUAGGGGAAUAAAGAUGGAAUCACUUCAAAUUUUUACGUCCGUGUGAUUUGAAAUACUUGCACACAAACCGCACGAAAGCGUUCCUGGAAAUCUCAGCCCAAAAAAGGACGUUUAGUAAGUCUAAAAGGGACUACACGAUGAAAAACAAUAGUUUUGGCAGUUAAAGUUUGAGAUUCGACAGUGCCGUAGAUCCGUUUGGUCAUCAGGUGUAACGAGCCACACCCAUGUCUAGAUAGAGUAGUGUGCUAGGCUCAAACUAGAGAAGAAACGGGGAACAAACUGAUGAAAGAAUGAUCAUACCGAGGGAAUUCACUCAGAAAUAACAAGAAUGAUAACGUGCUCUGACUGGAGCGGUUUAGGAACUGCUGGAAGGCUCUAGGGGAAUAAAGAAGGAAUGACUUCUAAUUUUUAGGUCCGUAUGAUUUGAAAUACGUGCACACAAACCCCGAGAAAGCGUUCCUGGAAAUCUCGACCCAAAAAAGGACGUUUAGUAAUUCUAAAAGGGACUACGGGAUGAAAAACAAUAGUUUUGGCAGUUAAAGUUUGAGAUUCGAUAAUGCCGUAGAUCCAUUUGGUCAUCAGGUGUAACGAGCCACACCCAUGUCUAGCUAGAGUAGUGUGCUAGGCUCAGACUAGAGAAGAAACAGGGAACAAACUGAUGAAAGAAUGAUCAUAUCGAGGGAAUUCACUCAGAACUAACAAGAAUGAUAACAUGCUCCGACUUGAGCGGUUUAGGAACUGCUGGAAGGCUCUAGGGGAAUAAAGAUGGAAUGACUUCUAAUUUUUAGGUCCGUAUGAUUUGAAAUACUUACACACAAACCACGCGAAAGCGUUCCUGGAAAUCUCAGCCCAAAAAAGGACGUUUAGUAAUUCUAAAAGGGACUACAUGAUGAAAAACAAUAGUUUUCGCAGUUAAAGUUUGAGAUUCGACGGUGCCGUAGAUCCGUUUGGUCAUCAAGUGUUACGAGCCACACCCAUGUCUAGCUAGAAUAGUGUGUUAGGCUCAGCCUAGAGAAGAAACGGGGAACAAACUGAUGAAAGAAUGAUCAUACCGAGGGAAUUCACUCAGAACUUACAAGAAUGAUAACGUGCUCCGACUUGAGCGGUUUAAGAACUGUUGGAAGGCUCUAGGGGAAUAAAGAUGGAAUCACUUCAAAUUUUUACGUCCGUGUGAUUUGAAAUACUUGCACACAAACCCCGAGAAAGCGUUCCUGGAAAUCUCGGCCGAAAAAAGGAUGUUUAAUAAUUCUAAAAGGGACUACAGGAUGAAAAACAAUAGCUUUGGCAGUUAAAGUUUGUGAUUCGAUGGUGCCGUAGAUCUGUUUGGUCAUCAGGUGUUAUGAGCCACACCCAUGUCUAGCUAGAAUAGUGUGUUAGGCUCAGGCUAGAGCAGAAACUAGGAACAAACUUAUGAAAGAAUGAUCAUACCGAGGGAAUUCACUCAGAACUAACAAGAAUGAUAACGUGCUCCGACUGGAGCGGUUUAGGAACUGCUGGAAGGCUCUAGGGGAAUAAAGAUGGAAUGACUUCUAAUUUUUAGGUCCGUAUGAUUUGAAAUACAUGCACACAAACCCCAAGAAAGCGUUCCUAGAAAUCUCAGCCCAAAAAGGACGUUUAGUAAUUCUAAAAGGGACUACAGGAUGAAAAACAAUAGGUUUGGCAGUUAAAGUUUGAGAUUCGAUAAUGCCGUAGAUCCGUUUGGUCAUCAGGUGUAACGAGCCACACCCAUGUCUAGCUACAUUAGUGUGCUAGGCUCAGACUAGAGAAGAAACGGGGAACAAACUGAUGAAAGAAUGAUCAUACCGAGGGAAUUCACUCAGAACUAACAAGAACGAUAACAUGCUCCGACUGCAGCGGUUUAGGAACUGCUGGAAGGCUCUAGGGGAAUAAAGAAGGAAUGACUUCUAAUUUUUAGGUCCGUAUGAUUUGAAAUACUUGCACACAAACCGCGCGAAAGCAUUCCUGGAAAUCUCAGCCCAAAAAAGGACGUUUAGUAAUUCUAAAAGGGACUACAGGAUGAAAAACAAUAAUUUUGGCAGUUAAAGUUUGAGAUUCGACGGUGCCGUAGAUCCGUUUGGUCAUCAGGUGUUACGGGCCAUACCCAUGUCUAGCUAGAAUAGUGUGUUAGGCUCAGGUUAGAGAAGAAACGGGGAACAAAGUGAUGAAAGAAUGAUCAUACCGAGGGAAUUCACUCAGAACUAACAAGAAUGAUAACGUGCUCCGACUGGAGCGGUUUAGGAAUUGCUGGAAGGCUCUAGGGGAAUAAAGAUGGAAUGACUUCUAUAUUUUACGUCCGUAUGAUUUGAAAUACUUGCACACAAACCACGCAAAAGCACUCCUGGAAAUAUCAGCCUAAAAAGGAUGUUUAGUAAUUCUAAAAGGGACUACAGGAUGAAAAAUAAUAGUUUUGGCAGUUAAAAUUUGAGAUUCAACGGUGCCGUAAAUCCGUUUGGUCAUCAGGUGUUACGAGCCACACCCAUGUCUAGCUAGAAUAGUGUGUUAGGCUCAGGUUAGAGAAGAAACGGGGAACAAACUGAUGAAAGAAUGAUCAUACAAGGGGAAUUCACUCAGAACUAUCAAGAAUGAUAACGUGCUCCGACUGGAGCAGUUUAGGAACUGCCGGAAGGCUCUAGGGGAAUAAAGAUGGAAUGACUUCUAAUUUUUAUGUCCGUAUGAUUUGAAAUACUUGCACACAAACCACGCAAAAGCGUUCCUGGAAAUCUCAGCCUAAAAAGGACGUUUAGUAAUUCUAAAAGGGACUACAGGAUGAAAAACAAUAGUUUGGGCAGUUAAAAUUCGAGAUUCGACGGUGCCGUAGAUCCGUUUGGUCAUCAGGUGUUACGAGCCACACCCAUGUCUAGCUAGAAUAGUGUGUUAGGCUCAGGCUAGAGAAGAAACGGGGAACAAACUGAUGAAAGAAUGAUCAUAUCGAGGGAAUUCACUCAGAACUAACAAGAAUGAUAACGUGCUCCGACUGGAGCGGUUUAGUAACUGCUGGAAGGCUCUAGGGGAAUAAAGAUGGAAUGACUUCUAAUUAUUAGGUCCGUAAGAUUUGAAUUACAUGCACACAAACCCCGAGAAAGCGUUCCUGGAAAUCUCGGUCGAAAAAAGGAUGUUUAGUAAUUCUAAAAGGGACUACAGGAUGAAAAACAAUAGUUUUGGCAGUUAAAGUUUGUGAUUCGAUGGUGCCGUAGAUCUGUUUGGUCAUCAGGUGUUACGAGCCACACCCAUGUCUAGCUAGAAUAGUGUGUUAGGCUCAGGCUAGAGCAGAAACGGGGAACAAACUUAUGAAAGAAUGAUCAUGCCGAGGGAAUUCACUCAGAACUAACAAGAAUGAUAACGUGCUCCGACUGGAGCGGUUUAGGAACUGCUGGAAGGCUCUAGGGGAAUAAAGAUGGAAUGACAUCAAAUUUUUAGGUCCGUAUGAUUUGAAAUACUUGCACACAAACCGCAAGAAAGCGUUCUUGGAAAUCUCCGCCCAAAAAAGGACGUUUAGUAAUUCUAAAAGGGUCUACAGGAUGAAAAACAAUAGUUCUGGCAGUUAAAGUUUGAGAUUCGAUAAUGUCGUAGAUCCGUUUGGUCAUCAGGCGUAACGAGCCACACCCAUUUCUAGCUAGAGUAGUGUGCUAGGCUCAGACUAGAGAAGAAACGGGGAACAACCUGAUGAAAGAAUGAUCAUACCGAGGGAAUUCACUCAGAACUAACAAGAAUGAUAACGUGCUCCGACUGGAGCGGUUUAGGAACUGCUGGAAGGCUCUACGGGAAUAAAGAAGGAAUGACUUCUAAUUUUUAGGUCCGUAUGAUUUGAAAUACGUGCACACAAACCCCGAGAAAGCGUUCCUGGAAAUCUCGGCCCAAAAAAGGACGUUUAGUAUUCUAAAAGCGACUACAGAAUGAAAAACAAUAGUUUUGGUAGUUAAAGUUUGAGAUUUAACGGUGCCGUAGAUCUGUUUGGUCAUCAGGUGUUACGAGCCACACCCAUGUCUAGCUAGAAUAGUGUGUUAGGCUCAGGCUAGAUAAGAAACAGGGAACAAAGUGAUGAAAGAAUGAUCAUACCAAGGGAAUUCACUCAGAACUAACAAGAACGAUAACAUGCUCCGACUGGAGUGGUUUAGGAACUGCUGGAAGGCUCUAGGGGAAUAAAGAUGGAAUGACUUCUAAUUUUUAGGUCUGUAUGAUUUGAAAUACUUGCACACAAACCGCACGAAAGCGUUCCUGGAAAUCUCAUCCCAAAAAAGGACGUUUAGUAAUUCUAAAAGGGACUACAGGAUGAAAAACAAUAGUUUUGGCAGUUAAAGUUUGAGAUUCGAUAAUGCUGUAGAUCCGUUUGGUCAUCAGGUGUAACGAGCCACACCCAUGUCUAGCUAGAGUAGUGUGCUAGGCUCAGACUAGAGAAGAAACGGGGAACAAACUGAUGAAAGAAUGAUCAUACCGAGGGAAUUCACUCAGAACUAACAAUAAUGAUAACGUGCUCCGACUGGAGCGGUUUAGGAACUGCUGGAAGGCUCUAGGGGAAUAAAGAUGGAAUGAGUUCUAAUUUUUAGGUCUGUAUGAUUUGAAAUACUUGCACACAAACCGCGUGAAAGCAUUCCUGGAAAUUUCAGCCCAAAAAAGGACGUUUAGUAAUUUUAAAAGGGACUACACGAUGAAAAACAAUAGUUUUGGCAGUUAAAGUUUGAGAUUCGACGGUGCCGUAGAUCCGUUUGGUCAUCAGGUGUUACGAGCCACACCCAUGUCUAGCUAGAAUAGUAUGUUAGGCUCGGGUAAGAGAAGAAACGGGGAACAAACUGAUGAAAGAAUGAUCAUACCAAGGGAAUUCACUCAGAACUAACAAGAAUGAUAACGUGCUCCGACUGGAGCGGUUUAGGAACUGCUGGAAGGCUCUAGGGGAAUAAAGAUGGAAUGACUUCUAAUUUUUACGUUCGUAUGAUUUGAAAUACUUGCACACAAACCACGCAAAAGCGUUCCUGGAAAUCUCAUCCUAAAAAAGGACGUUUAGUAAUUCUAAAAGGGACUACAGGAUGAAAAAUAAUAGUUUGGGCAGUUAAAAUUUGAGAUUCGACGGUGCCGUAGAUCCGUUUGGUCAUCAGGUGUUACGAGCCACACCCAUGUCUAGCUAGAAUAGUGUGUUAGGCUCAGGCUAGAGAAGAAACGGGGAACAAACUGAUGAAAGAAUGAUCAUAUCGAGGGAAUUCACUCAGAACUAACAAGAAUGAUAACGUGCUCCGACUGGAGCAGUUUAGAAACUGCUGGAAGGCUCUAGGGGAAUAAAGAUGGAAUGACUUCUAAUUUUUAGGUCUGUAUGAUUUGAAAUACGUGCACACGAACCCCGAGAAAGCGUUCCUGGAAAUCUCGGCCCAAAAAAGGACGUUUAGUAAUUCUAAAAGGGACUACAGGAUGAAAAACAAUAGUUUUGGCAGUUAAAGUUUGAGAUUCGACGGUGCCGUAGAUCCGUUUGUUCAUCAGGUGUUACGAGCCACACCCAUGUCUAGCUAGAAUAGUGUGUUAGGCUCAGGCUAGAGAAGAAACGGGGAACAAACUGAUGAAAGAAUGAUCAUACCGAGGGAAUUCACUCAGAACUAACAAGAAUGAUAACGUGCUCCGACUGGAGCGGUUUAGGAACUGCUAGAAGGCUCUAGGGGAAUAAAGAAGGAAUGACUUCUAAUUUUUAGGUCCGUAUGAUUUGAAAUACGUGCACACAAACCCCGAGAAAGCGUUCCUGGAAAUCUUGGCCCAAAAAAGGACGUUUAGUAUUCUAAAAGCGACUACAGAAUGAAAAACAAUAGUUUUGCUAGUUAAAGUUUGAGAUUUGAUGGUGCCGUAGAUCUGUUUGGUCAUCAGGUUUUACGAGCCACACCCAUGUCUAGCUAGAAUAGUGUGUUAGGCUCAGGCUAGAAAAGAAACAGGGAAUAAAGUGAUGAAAGAAU